rnacentral:lncRNA from 1 species
UCCACACCUGUCUCAGGUGCUCCCCUGCUUAAGAACCACGGAGGGCCUCCCGCCCACGUCCACGCUCCUCCCGAGAACACCGGAGCGCCACACGACCCAGCCCAAGCUCCCCUGCGCCCACCGGCCCUGCCCGCCCCGGGGACACCCGCUCGCCGCUCUGUUCCGGGCGCUCGGGUGCUCCCCUCCGCUUUCCCUAUUCCCCCGAAGCCUCCCCGGCUAACGGCUAACGGCAGCUUGAGGCUUCCCCUCCCACGGACGCCAAGUCAGGAAGCCUUCGGGCACUUGGCGCACUUUGCAGGUGUCGCUGUGCACGUGGCUUAUCUGGAGGCGCCCCCCCCCCUCCGCCCCAUCCUCCACCGCAGGGCCUGUGUGCGCGGCUGGCCUUUGCUAGACGCUGGCCGAGCGCACGCGUGUGCACAGGCUCGAGCGGUUCACCCGGAGAAAACGCCCGAGACCGCCGACCGCCCUGCAGGUGCAGAGAUACAGGCCUGUCUUCCAAACAAAACGGCUUUGGAAGAACCGGGGCGGCAGCCUGGGGAGAAGCUGCGGCAAGCACAGACACCCUGUCUCCUAACCAGCCACGCCCUGCGUAGACGCGGAGCCCAGCUCUGUAAAAUCUGGGACGGAGAGGGCGGGGGGAGGGCUCAGAUAUGUUGCCUUUCCAUUCUUUUUUUUUUUUUUAGAUUUUAUUUAUUUAUUCAUGAGAGACACAGAGAGAGGCAGAGACACAGGCAGAGGGAGAAGCAGGCUCCCUGCGGGGAGCCCAACGUGGGACUCGAUCCUGGGACCCCAGGGUCACGCCCUGAGCAGAAGGCAGACGCUCAACUGCUGAGCCCCCAGACGGCCGGCCCUUGCCUUUCCAUUCUUAAGAAAAAAGAUUUAGUAGGAAACGUGGCCAGUAAAUGUACAUUUGCAUGCUCCGUGGUGGGUGCUUGCUUAAUGAUGGAAAGAACGAUGACCUCCCAAAGGGCGGGCUUCGGGGUCGGAGAGGCCAGGGGCCGAGUCCUGGCUUUGUCACCCAUGAGCUGGGGGACCUCGGGCCAGCCCCAUCACUUCCCUGACUCUCCGCUUGCUCAGGGCCGAACAAGGCCCAGUCCUCAGGAUUGUCCCCGGGGCUAA